rnacentral:pre_miRNA from 1 species
AGUGGAAUAACUGGGUCAAAUGGUGGUACUAUUCCAACCAUUUGGAGGAAUCUCUAUACUGCUUUCCAGAGUGGUUGCACCAAUUUAGAGCCCCACCAGUAGU